rnacentral:lncRNA from 10 species
ACACUUUAGAGUGCCUCAGAGUCACCUACAGGGCUUGUUAAACCACAGAUUGCAGGGGUACCUAAGCCCAGAAUUUCUGAUUUGGUAGGUCUGGAGUAGGUCCUGAUAAUCUGCUUUUCUAACAGGUUGUCGGGUGAUGCUGAUUGUGCUAGUCCUAGGAACAUCUUAAUAACUACGUCGCCUUAUUAAGCCUUGGAUAAAGAAGACCACUUCAUGGUACCAUCAGAUGGAGGCCCCUGACCUGAGGAAACCCUACUUCACCAUCGGCAGAACCAGCCCCCAAUAUUUCAAUGUUAUUUUUGACCAGAUAAUGAAUGAAUAUGGUUCAAAAUUCAGAAAGUGAAAAAGGAUGUAUAAAAGGAUAUUUGAGACAUAAAAGCAAUGUGGGUUGGGAAAAAGAACGUAUACCUUUCCCCCAUUUUUGUACCAAUGAUACCAGAUGUCAAGGAAACGUAUUUGAAGGAGAGCCCUCAACAUUUCGAAAAGUUUGGCUGACAGGUUGGUAACACUUAUUUAUAGCAAUCAUAA